UUGAACGCUGGCGGCAGGCCUAACACAUGCAAGUCGAGCGGCAGCGCGGGGCAACCUGGCGGCGAGCGGCGGACGGGUGAGUAACGCGUAGGAAUCUACCCAGUAGCGGGGGAUAGCCCGGGGAAACUCGGAUUAAUACCGCAUACGCCCUAAGGGGGAAAGCAGGGGAUCGUAAGACCUUGCACUAUUGGAAGAGCCGGCGUUGGAUUAGCUAGUUGGUAGGGUAAAGGCCUACCAAGGCGACGAUCCAUAACUGGUCUGAGAGGAUGAUCAGUCACACCGGAACUGAGACACGGUCCGGACUCCUACGGGAGGCAGCAGUGGGGAAUAUUGGACAAUGGGGGCAACCCUGAUCCAGCCAUGCCGCGUGCGUGAAGAAGGCCUUCGGGUUGUAAAGCACUUUAAGUGGGGAGAAAGGUUCGGCAGCUAAUACCUGCCGGAAGUGAUGUUACCCACAGAAUAAGCACCGGCUAACUCUGUGCCAGCCGCCGCCGUAA
rnacentral:rRNA from 1 species